rnacentral:rRNA from 1 species
AUUGAACGCUGGCGGCAGGCCUAACACAUGCAAGUCGAGCGGAUGAGAGGAGCUUGCUUCUCGAUUCAGCGGCGGACGGGUGAGUAAUGCCUAGGAAUCUGCCUGGUAGUGGGGGACAACGUUUCGAAAGGAACGCUAAUACCGCAUACGUCCUACGAGAGAAAGCAGGGGACCUUCGGGCCUUGCGCUAUCAGAUGAGACUAGGUCGGAUUAGCUAGUUGGUGAAGUAAUGGCCCAACAAGGCGACGAUCCGUAACUGGUCUGAGAGGAUGAUCAGGCACACUGGAACUGGGAAACGGUCAAGACUCCUACGGGAGGCAGCAGUGGGGAAUAUUGGACAAUGGGCGAAAGCCUGAUCCAGCCAUGCCGCGUGUGUGAAGAAGGUCUUCGGAUUGUAAAGCACUUUAAGUUGGGAGGAAGGGUUGUAGAUUAAUACUCUGCAAUUUUGACGUUACCGACAGAAUAAGCACCGGCUAACUCUGUGCCAGCCGCCGCAGUAACAC